rnacentral:rRNA from 1 species
AGGGUUUGAUCCUGGCUCAGAUUGAACGCUGGCGGCAGGCUUAAUACAUGCAAGUCGAACGGUAACAUAGCGAAAGCUUGCUUUUGCUGAUGACGAGUGGCGGACGGGUGAGUAGUAUCUGGGAAACUGCCCUGAAGAGGGGGACAACAGCUGGAAACGGCUGCUAAUACCGCAUAAGCCCUGAGGGGGAAAGGAUAGCGAUAUCCGCUUCAGGAUGUGCCCAGAAGGGAUUAGCUGGUAGGUGAGGUAAAGGCUCACCUAGGCGACGAUCUCUAGCCGGUCUGAGAGGAUGACCGGCCACAUCGGGACUGAGACACGGCCCGG